UUGAAUGAUGAAAUAAGCACUGGGCUCUGAGCAGUUAUACAAAUGAACUGCUAUUUGAUGCACAAUGCUAGCCUAGAAAGCUAUGUCUGACUG
rfam:Cajanus cajan chromosome 11, whole genome shotgun sequence.